AGUGAAUAGAUACCCGGGUAGUCCCAGCUGUAAACUAUGCAGGCUAGGUGUUUGAGCGGCCACGUGCCGCUCUAGUGCCGCAGGGAAGCUGUUAAGCCUGCCGCCUGGGGAGUACGGUCGCAAGAUUGAAACUUAAAGGAAUUGGCGGGGGAGCACCACAAGGGGUGAAAGCUUGCGGUUUAAUUGGAGUCAACGCCGGAAAUCUCACCGGGGGCGACAGCAGUAUGAUGGCCAGAUUAAAGGUCUUGCCAGACGAGCUGAGAGGAGGUGCAUGGCCGUCGCCAGUUCGUGCCGUGAGGUGUCCUGUUAAGUCAGGCAACGAUCGAGACCCGCGUCCUCUGUUGCUACUGGUUUUGUACCAGGCACACUGAGGAGACCGCCGCUGACAAAGCGGAGGAAGGAGCGGGCCACGGCAGGUCAGUAUGCCCCGAAUCUCCCGGGCCACACGCGAGCUGCAAUGGCAGGUACAAUGGGUUCCGACCUCGAAAGGGGGAGGCAAUCUCGAAAGCCUGCCGUAGUUGGGAUCGUGGGUU
rnacentral:rRNA from 1 species